CAACUCAUACAUACUCAAACAUUACAUGUCUUUACAAAAACAUCAUUUAUUAACACAAAUAUCUUUAUAAUAUUUAAUUACCAAUACUUAAGUAAUUCAAUUGGCUUGGAGACCCUCACCAAUGGAUCCGGAAGGGUCAAAAACCCCCAGAACGACAAAACGGACGUCCGGAGCUCCCAAAACGUCAAAAACAUCAAAAAUACACUUUCUGUCGCAGAAAACUCGCUGAGCGCACACUUACUGGUGCGCUAUGCGAAUUUUUGCUGGAAAACACAAAAAUUUUGAGUUCUCGCUGUGCGAGAACUCUCGCUCAGCGAAUCUGCACUUCUGUAGAUUACCAAUUCUGCAGAUUUGCAGAACACAUCUACCCAAAACUUGUUAUAGGUCAAUUGGUGCACUUCUAAUGAUCGUAACUCGAAGUAUAUGAUGAUUUAAACUUGUCUAAGGUGUCUAAUUGCUUAUAAACCUCUUAAUCUAUUAAUUAUGCAUCAUUUUAGAAUCAAUUUCUCAAGUUUCAACAACUUAUAGAUCCAAUUUCAGUUCUAGCACUUAGAAAGCAGUUUUGACUAAAUGCACACUUCAUACAAGUCAUAUAUGACUUAUACCCACUUCCUAAACUGACCAAACCUAACUAUAACCUCAAACCCAAAAUUUGGCUAUCCUAGUUCCUAAAUCAUUCCUAAAAUAUAUACAACAGGACCUAAUUCUCAUCUUCUACUUUUGUAUAGUAAUUCAUAAUUGUUCCUCUUCAUACAUCCAAUCUCACACAUACCCAUUCUUCAAAAUCAUAAACACCAUACAAAAAUCAACAGUACAACAAUUACGUUCCAACAUUCCAACUUUAGCAUCAAAAUAGAAAUUAAACAGUACACAUGCAUUCACUCAAUUUAUCAAAAUCAUAACCUAUUCUAUAAAUCAGUAAGAACAGCGAUCACAUGCUAGCUCCCCUUACCUUGAUGGUGUUACAGCUCAAACUCAAUGGAACUUAUAGUGCUUGAAACGCCGAGAUGAGUUUGCUAGAAUUUUACCUAAAUCAAAAGAUUGAGAAAGGGGGAUACUUUUCAUAAUCUAAAAGGGAAAUAGGAUUUGGGGAAAACAAUUACAUGGAGUUACAUGCAGCAAGAUUGCCUACAUGCAGUCCAGAUUGUUUGCAUGUUCUCAACUCAAGAGAAACUGAAGAAAUUUCACUUACCAGGAGAGGAAACUAAACUGUUUCGAUGGGCUGUUGUACCGAUCUCACAGUUGCCUAAACGUUUUCUGGUAAGAGGAGCAAUUGAAUCCAGUGAAAAGAUUUCAGAACAAGGAUGUAAGAGGAAUCAAGGAGGGAAGGGAAAAACAGAGGGGAGAACACGUUGCUUGCAUCUGCUGAAGGAAAGAAUGAAACUUCAAUUUUUGAAGUUUCAGCAUUUUUUUUUAAAGGAAUGAUGUUUCAGCC
rnacentral:lncRNA from 1 species